GUGGGGAAUAUUGGACAAUGGGCGAAAGCCUGAUCCAGCCAUGCCGCGUGUGUGAAGAAGGUCUUCGGAUUGUAAAGCACUUUAAGUUGGGAGGAAGGGUAGUAACCUAAUACGUUGCUACUUUGACGUUACCGACAGAAUAAGCACCGGCUAACUUCGUGCCAGCAGCCGCGGUAAUACGAAGGGUGCAAGCGUUAAUCGGAAUUACUGGGCGUAAAGCGCGCGUAGGUGGUUCAGUAAGUUGGAAGUGAAAUCCCCGGGCUCAACCUGGGAACUGCUUUCAAAACUGCUGAGCUAGAGUACGGUAGAGGGUGGUGGAAUUUCCUGUGUAGCGGUGAAAUGCGUAGAUAUAGGAAGGAACACCAGUGGCGAAGGCGACCACCUGGACUGAUACUGACACUGAGAGACGAAAGCGUGGGGAGCAAACAGGAUUAGAAACCCUAGUAGUCC
rnacentral:rRNA from 1 species